CAAUAGCGUAUAUUUAAGUUGAUGCAGUUAAAAAGCUCGUAGUUGGAUUUCGGGUGGGAAUGGCCGGUCCGCCGUUUCGGUGUGCACUUGCUACGCCCACCUUGCUGCCGGGGACGUGCUCUUGAGUUCACGCUCGGGACACGGAGUCGGCGAGGUUACUUUGAGUAAAUUAGAGUGUUCAAAGCAGGCCUACGCUCUGAAUACAUUAGCAUGGAAUAACACGAUAGGACUCUGGCCUAUCUUGUUGGUCUGUAGGACCGGAGUAAUGAUUAAGAGGGACAGUCGGGGGCAUUCGUAUUUCAUUGUCAGAGGUGAAAUUCUUGGAUUUAUGAAAGACGAACUACUGCGAAAGCAUUUGCCAAGGAUGUUUUCAUUAA
rnacentral:rRNA from 1 species